rnacentral:rRNA from 1 species
UGGCUCAGGAUGAACGCUAGCGGCAGGCUUAACACAUGCAAGUCGAGGGGCAGCGGGGAGGAAGCUUGCUUUCUCCGCCGGCGACCGGCGCACGGGUGAGUAACACGUAUGCAACCUGCCCCUGUCAGGGGGACAACCCGCCGAAAGGCGGGCUAAACCCGCGUACAUGCCACCGGGGCAUCCCGGAGGCAGGAAAGGCUUCGGCCGGACAGGGAUGGGCAUGCGGCGCAUUAGGCAGUAGGCGGGGUAACGGCCCACCUAACCGACGAUGCGUAGGGGUUCUGAGAGGAAGGUCCCCCACACUGGUACUGAGACACGGACCAGACUCCUACGGGAGGCAGCAGUGAGGAAUAUUGGUCAAUGGUCGGGAGACUGAACCAGCCAAGCCGCGUGAGGGAUGAAGGUACAGAGUAUCGUAAACCUCUUUUGUCAGGGAACAAAGGCGGGGACGUGUCCCCGGAUGAGUGUACCUGAAGAAAAAGCAUCGGCUAACUCCGUGCCAGCAGCCGCGGUAAUACGGAGGAUGCGAGCGUUAUCCGGAUUUAUUGGGUUUAAAGGGUGCGCAGGCGGUCUGUUAAGUCAGCGGUCAAAGCCCGGGGCUCAACCCCGGCCCGCCGUUGAAACUGGCAGUCUCGAGUUGGAGAGAAGUAUGCGGAAUGCGCGGUGUAGCGGUGAAAUGCAUAGAUAUCGCGCAGAACUCCGAUUGCGAAGGCAGCAUGCCGGCUCCACACUGACGCUGAGGCACGAAAGCGUGGGUAUCGAACAGGAUUAGAUACCCUGGUAGUCCACGCAGUAAACGAUGAAUGCUGGCUGUCCGGGGGGGAUUGACCCCUGGGUGGCGAAGCGAAAGCGAUAAGCAUUCCACCUGGGGAGUACGCCGGCAACGGUGAAACUCAAAGGAAUUGACGGGGGCCCGCACAAGCGGAGGAACAUGUGGUUUAAUUCGAUGAUACGCGAGGAACCUUACCCGGGCUCAAACGGGGAGUGACUCAGGCAGAGACGCCUGUUUCCCACGGGACACUCCCCGAGGUGCUGCAUGGUUGUCGUCAGCUCGUGCCGUGAGGUGUCGGCUUAAGUGCCAUAACGAGCGCAACCCCCGCGUGCAGUUGCUAACAGAUAACGCUGAGGACUCUGCACGGACUGCCGGCGCAAGCCGCGAGGAAGGCGGGGAUGACGUCAAAUCAGCACGGCCCUUACGUCCGGGGCGACACACGUGUUACAAUGGGUGGUACAGCGGGAAGCCAGGCGGCGACGCCGAGCGGAACCCGAAAUCCACUCUCAGUUCGGAUCGGAGUCUGCAACCCGACUCCGUGAAGCUGGAUUCGCUAGUAAUCGCGCAUCAGCCAUGGUGCGGUGAAUACGUUCCCGGGCCUUGUACACACCGCCCGUCAAGCCAUGGGAGCCGAGGGCGCUUGAAGUGCGUCGCCGCGAGGCGCGCCCUAGAGCGAAAUCGGUGACUGGGGCUAAGUCGUAACAAGGUAGCCG